CUGGUUGAUUCUGCCAGUGGUCAUAUGCUCGUCUCAAAGACUAAGCCAUGCAAGUCUAAGUUCACAUCAUAUAAAGAUGAAACUGCGAAGCGCUCAGUAAAUCAGUUAUUGUCCGUUCGGUCAUAUCAGCCAUGGAUAACUGUGGUAAAUCUAGAGCUAAUACAUAGCAAAUCCUCGUCUAAUAAACGGGGAGCAUUUAUUAGACUAAAUCAACUGGCUUCGGCCAUUAGAUGAAUCUUAAUAACUGUGCAUAUCGAACUUUAAUUAGUCGAUAGUCCGAUCGAAUUUCUGCCCUAUCAACUAGUUGGUGAGGUAGUGGCUCACCAAGGUUGUGACGGGUAACGGGGGAUCAGGGUUCGAUUCCGGAGAGGGAGCCUGAGAAACGGCUACCACAUCUAAGGAAGGCAGCAGGCGCGCAAAUUACCCAAUCCAGACUUUGGGAGGUAGUGACGAGAAAUACCGGAGUAGACCAUAUAAUGGUUCACUAUCGGAAUGAACGUAAUCUAAUACCUUCGAUGAGUAGCUACUGGAGGGCAAGUCUGGUGCCAGCAGCCGCGGUAAUUCCAGCUCCAGUAGUGUAUAUCAAAAUUGUUGCGGUUAAAGCGCUCGUAGUUGGAUUACAAAAGCUCUAUAAUGAUCAAGCUUAGUGUUUGGUCGUUGUGGGGUUUUUUUAUCACGGGAGCCGUAUGUGGGAUUAAAUUCUUGUAUGCGGUCACUUGUGAGAUGUGCCUUGAAUAAAGCACAGUGCUCAAAGCAGGCGUACGCUUGAAUGUAAUAGCAUGGAACGAUUAUGUUGACCUUGUUAACUGUUGGUUGUUGACAGUGGUCUCGAUUAAAAGGGACAUUUGAGGGCGUUAGUACUUGGUGGCGAGGGGUGAAAUUCUUAGACCCAUCAAAGACUAACUAAUGCGAAAGCAUUCGCCAAGAGUGUUUUCAUUAAUCAAGAACGAAAGUUGGAGGUUCGAAGACGAUCAGAUACCGUCCUAGUUCCAUACAGUAAACGAUGCCAACAUGGGAUUAGCCCGGUUUAAUCCAGGUUGGACCCUCGGAGAAAUUAUAGUGUUUCGGCCCCGGGGAGAGUGCACACGCAAGUGCGAAAUUUGAAGAAAUUGACGGAAUGGCACCACCAGGAGUGGAGCCUGCGGCUUAAUUUGACUCAACACGGGGAAACUCACCAGGUCCAGACAUUGA
rnacentral:rRNA from 1 species